GUUAGACAACGUUGUUCUAUUUUUUGUUCAGUGCAUUUGCUGAAGAAAACUCUACAGAAAUGUGAAAAGAAGGGGUGAAUGGAGCAGAUCUCUGGAAAAGGAUUCAGUGGCACCUUCCAGCUCUGUUUUCCCUAUUACCCCAGCCCAGGGGUUCUGUUUCCAAAGAAAGAGCCAGAGGAUUCUGAGGAUUAGGAUGAAGAUGACGAUGAGUCAUCAGAGCAUGACUCUGAGGAUGAGCAGCCGCCACCUAAAAGAAGAUUGCAGAAGAAAACCCCAGCCAAGUCCCCAGGGAAGGCUGCAGCCAUGAAACAAAGGGGGUCCAAGCCUGCACCUAAAGUUCCAGCUGCCGCAUGGGCGCGAGUGAGGCCUCUGCCCAAGAAAGCCCCUCCAAAGGCCAAGACGCCAGCCAAGAAAGCCAGCCUCCCCCCCCCCCCAGUCACUAAGAAACCCGCUGGUGGCUCUUCAAAGAAGCCUGCAGCCAGAGCAAGAAAGGAAGUGAAACUGCCUACUAAAGGCAAAUCUACCAUGACGAAAUCUUUCAGGACAAAAAAGUAAAUUUUAUAGGAAAUAAGGGUAUCAUGAUGGAAUUCAAAAUCUUAUUUUCUAAGGUCAGUGUGCAUUUGUUUUAGUUUUGGUGUUUUUAAAACUACAUUUUCCCCCUCCUCUCUGAGCAUUAUGAGAAGGGGACUAUACAUAACACACGGAGGCAUUGGCUAGCUUGAGGUGCUGUUCUCAGUGCCUGCUCUUGGAGUCAUUUUAAUUCCUGCAAUAAUCCUGGACUUUAUUCAACCAUGUAACCUAUAUUUGCCCUUUGUUGCUCCCCUUCCCCAGACUUUUUUUAUGGGCAGCUUGGCGCUCU